rnacentral:misc_RNA from 1 species
GUAUUUAGUUUAUAGGCACAAGGCCCAAUGAUACAUUCUGUUACAUUCUUUGGGGUAUGUGAAAACAUAGACCAGGACAUUCAAGGAAAGCCGGCAUUGACGCACGGCAUUCCUCCCGACCGAGUUUCCUCGGAAAGUGUUAUAUCAAGGUCUACAAAAAGUGCACAGGUGGAGAUAUAAAGACGACGGGCGUGCACAUGCUCCCGAGAGAGCCAGCUUCAACCACAUCAGGUUUAUUCAAUAAUGAUCCUUCCGCAGGUUCACCUACGGAAA